rnacentral:rRNA from 1 species
ACAAGCCUGAGAAACGGCUAGUAGGACUAAGGUCUGCAGCAGGCGCGAAACUUACACAAUGCUAGAUUACAAUUAGCGAUGUAAUGAAAAAAAAUAACGAUGUACUUCCUUCUAAACAAGGUAAUACAAUUGGAAUGAGACGACUAUAAACCAGUUAGUCCAGUAACAAAUGGAGGGCAAGUCUGGUGCCAGCAGCCGCGGUAAUUCCAGCUCCAUUAACAUACAUUAAAGUUGUUGCGGUUAAAAAGCUCGUAAUUGAAUUUUAGGCGGGCUCUAUUGGGAUGCAAUCGUUAAGACCUACUUGGUUUCCGAAUCCAGUUAGGUUGGUUGGCAUCGCCCUAUAUGAACCCGCUGUUUCGUCACUUAAUCUAGUGCGAAGCGGGCUGGUACGAGGAUUCAAUAUUCUCUAUUGUCCUGUUUCAGCAUGUUUACCUUGAGAAAAUUAAAGUGCUCACAGCAGGCAGUUGGGGUGUAAAAACUCCUUUAUGCUUGAAUAAUGUUGCAUGGAAUAAUAAAAUACGGCCUCCGUUCUAUUCUGUUGGUCUUAUAGAACAACAAACAAGUUGGUUAAAGCGAUCAAAAGUCCUUCUGCGGAUGUGGUUCAUUGGUGGCUUUUUAGUUGCUGACUUCAACUUUAGUCUAGCUGUGUUACCUAGGGCCUUAAAAUCUUAGUGUCGCGCUAGCUUUAUGUUGGUCUUCUUAACUAUCUAGUUUUGCCUUAUGUUCCAUUUAAAGCAUCCCUUAAUGGGCUAGCUUUCUAAUCAACUGACGCAAUGGUUAAAAGAAAUAGUCGCGGCGGCAUCAGUACUGCAUCGUGAGAG